GAUGAACGCUGGCGGCGUGCCUAAUACAUGCAAGUCGAGCGAACGGACGAGAAGCUUGCUUCUCUGAUGUUAGCGGCGGACGGGUGAGUAACACGUGGAUAACCUACCUAUAAGACUGGGAUAAAUUCGGGAAACCGGAGCUAAUACCGGAUAAUAUUUUGAACCGCAUGGUUCAAAAGUGAAAGACGGUCUUGCUGUCACUUAUAGAUGGAUCCGCGCUGCAUUAGCUAGUUGGUAAGGUAACGGCUUACCAAGGCAACGAUGCAUAGCCGACCUGAGAGGGUGAUCGGCCACACUGGAACUAGAACACGGUCCAGACUCCUACGGGAGGCAGCAGUAGGGAAUCUUCCGCAAUGGGCGAAAGCCUGACGGAGCAACGCCGCGUGAGUGAUGAAGGUCUUCGGAUCGUAAAACUCUGUUAUUAGGGAAGAACAUAUGUGUAAGUAACUGUGCACAUCUUGACGGUACCUAAUCAGAAAGCCACGGCUAACUACGUG
rnacentral:rRNA from 1 species